ACCUGGGUGGCUCAGUCGGUUAAGCGUCUGACUUUGGCUCAGGUCAUGAUCUCACAGUUCGUGGGUUCGAGCCCCGCGUCAGGCU
rnacentral:tRNA from 1 species